GGUCAAGUUAUUAAGGGUGCAGGGCGGAUGCCUUGGCACUAGGAGCCGAUGAAGGACGUGAUAAGCUGCGAUAAGCUUCGGGGAGUUGCACGUAAACUUUGAUCCGAAGAUUUCCGAAUGAGGAAACUCACUUAGAGUAAUGUCUAAGUAUCAUUAAGUGAAUACAUAGCUUAAUGAGGGGAACUCAGGGAACUGAAACAUCUAAGUACCUGAAGGAAGAGAAAGAAAUUCGAUUCCGUAAGUAGCGGCGAGCGAACGCGGAUUAGCCCAAACCAAUAAAGUUUUCUUUAUUGGGGUUGCGGACAUAUCAUAACGAAGAGGUAUCGUAAUUGAAGAGGUUUGGAAAGACCCACCACAGAAGGUAAUAGUCCUGUAUGUUAAACGAGAAGACUUCAGAUAUGAUCCA
rnacentral:rRNA from 1 species